GCCAGACUCCUACGGGAGGCAGCAGUGAGGAAUAUUGGUCAAUGGGCGCGAGCCUGAACCAGCCAAGUCGCGUGAGGGAGGACGGCCCUACGGGUUGUAAACCUCUUUUGCCGGGGAGCAACGGGCGUCACGUGUGGCGCCACUGAGAGUACCCGGAGAAAAAGCUCCGGCUAACUACGUGCCAGCAGCCGCGGUAAUACGUAGGGAGCGAGCGUUGUCCGGAUUUACUGGGUGUAAAGGGCGUGUAGGCGGAGCUGCAAGUCAGAAGUGAAAUCUCCGGGCUCAACCCGGAAACUGCUUUUGAAACUGUAGCCCUUGAGUAUCGGAGAGGCAGGCGGAAUUCCUAGUGUAGCGGUGAAAUGCGUAGAUAUUAGGAGGAACACCAGUGGCGAAGGCGGCCUGCUGGACGACAACUGACGCUGAGGCGCGAAAGCGUGGGGAGCAAACAGGAUUAGAUACCCGCGUA
rnacentral:rRNA from 1 species